rnacentral:rRNA from 1 species
GACGAACGCUGGCGGCGUGCCUAAUACAUGCAAGUCGAACGCAGUGGGGACGGGUGAGUAACACGUGGGUAACCUCCCAUCAGAGGGGAUAACACUUGGCAACAGGUGCUAAACCGAUACUGAUGGAUGGACCCGCGGUUCAUUAGCUAGUUGGUGAGGUAACGGCUCACCAAGGCCACGAUGCAUAGCCGACCUGAGAGGGGGAGCGGCAAAACUGGGACUGAGACACGGCACAGACUCCUACGGGAGGCAGCAGUAGGGAAUCUUCGGCAAUGGACGAAAGUCUGACCGAGCAACGCAGCGGGAGUGAAGAAGGUUUGCGGAUCGUAAAACUCUGGUGGUAGAGAAGCGGUAUCUAACCAGAAAGCCACGGCUAACUACGUGCCAGCAGCCGCGGUAAUUC